rnacentral:miRNA from 1 species
UGAAGCAGAGGAGAGAGAGAGAGAGAGAGAGAGAGAGAGAGAGAGAGAGAGGAGAUAACUUCCUAAGUGGUCAUCCUGAUAUUGUGCAGUUAUUAGUAUAUAAGCUUAGCUUUUUAAAAUUUAUUGUUUUUCUCUCUCUCUCUCUCUCCCUUUUAUUGUUUCCUCUCAUAUCACGAU